UCCAGAAAGUGGAGACAUGAUCACUGACCUAGAACAGCUGAGAAAACUAAAUAGUAAGUGCCUGCAGAAGGGAUUUCUAACCAGAGGUACACUGUAUGACCCCCCCAAAAGUUCAAAGUUGGAGAGGGUAGGUACGGUUGAUGGCAGGGAUGAAACGUUUAGCUGAAAAUAAGAGAACUCAUUGAAAAAUCUGUAUUAUUGAAACUCCCCCAAAUAACUACCUCUCUCUGAACGCAGCAAGAGACAGAAUACUUACUGUCUGGAGAAAGCCAAGUACAGACCUGGGGACACCAGACACAGAUGAGGGCGAGACGUUCACUGAACUAAAACAACAGAGAUUAGGUGAGAAGCUACAUACAUCAGGUCCCAGAAUCCCGGCAGCCAGGGCUUUCCCCAAUCACUCCACAGUGAAGCUCGACAAGCACAUAAGACCAUUCAACUUGAACUGAGAACUAAAAAGUACUACACUUUUUGUUUCAAGUAAGCUCUAAGUCCAACAUGGGACUUGAACUCACAACCCCGAGAUCAAGAGUCUCAUGCUCUAUCGACUAAGCCAGCCAGGUGACUCUAAGAACUACCACACUUUUGAAGAAAACCUCCAACGUGAGAGAGAAAGAGAGCGAGACAGAGAGACAGAGAGAGGGGGGAAGGGAGAGAGAGAUGAACACAAGAGGAACCCAAGAAUCGGAGAAUACUAGGAGCAUAUAAACAUUUCACAAAACUAUGAAAUCUUCAGAGAGACAAGUUAGACACAUUAAACAGGAUUAGGAUGAAAAUAAAGAUGAAAAAGACAAUGAUAACUGAAAAAGGACUCUGGAAAUUGAAAAUGACAGCCAAACUUAAAAUUAAGUAGAUGGCUUGAAAGAUAGAGCCAAGGAAACAUCCUAGAAGAUACUCUAAAACAAAAAAGAUGGAAUACAGGAGCAGAGGGGAGACAAAACAAAACUCUGAUGAUCCAAUAUCUGACCAAGAGGAUUCCCAGAAAAAGAGAAGGGAAAAAUGGUAAGGUAGGAAUUACCAAAAGAAAGAAUAAGAAUUUCCCUUUCCAGAUGGAAAGGGGCCCAUCUACUACCCAGUCCAAUGAAUGAAAACUGACCCACACUAAGGCACAUCCAGGGAGAUUUCAACACAGGAAAUAAGUUAUACAAGCUUCCAGAGAAAAGAACCGGGUCUCUUGGAGAAGAUCAGAAAUCCGAACAGCAUCGACUUUCGGCACAAACACUGAAAGAUUCAAAGCCAACUGAGCCAGCGAGGCCGUCAGAAUGAUGAGCAAACGAUGUGACGCCUAAAUAAUCAUUCAAGUGCGAAGAAAAAUAAAAGAUAUUUCAGAUAACUCAGGUACUCAAAAAACUGGCUUUCCACACACCUUUUCUUGACAGCAUGUUACUGGAAUGUGUGCUUCAGGAAAUGAAGAAGACAGGGGAUCUGGGAAAAAGGGAAUCCAACAUAGGAGACCCUGACUGUAGCAGGACAGGGAUGGGGGUGGGGGUGAUUGCCAAGAAAAUAAAGACUAGAUGGCCAGUGUGUUUAAGCAUUUGAAGUAAACUGCCGGGCAUUUGAGAAACCUGCCAGAGCAUUUGGGGGAAGUUGGCAGUAGAUAUAAAGAAAACUAAGCAAGUUUUAAAAAUAAAAAUAUUAGCUCCAGGAAAAAAACAAAUAUUUGUGUAUGAAAGGAAACGCAAUCGUAAUACGCUGCUUGGCUUACCAGCGAGCAAUAUUUAGUCAAAAUAAUACACAUCGUUGGCAGUUUAGCCCAAGUGGAUUAAAACUUAUGACCGCUCUACUAUAAGGGAUGGGAAGGAACAGUGGUGGCGAAAGAAAUACAUCCUCACCAAUGACAACAGGAAGUUAAACAGUAUCUAAAAUUUUGAUAGGUCAAAAACGGCAGUGUAAGCAUAUUACUGAAAAGCACGAAAGUAAAUAUGAGCAGAAAAAGCCCAAUACUUGGAAAGUGGCAAUCUGGGAAGCACUCUGCUUAGAAGUAAGGAGGAGUGGGACAGAGGACUGUCGUUUGCGAUGUAAGUCAACGUCUUCAAUUUCUAAAUUAUUGAUAUGCAUUUUGGGGUAAGAAUCAUAAUUCUGUUUUCAAGUGAAAUGCUUAAUGCCAAGAUAAAAUAAAAUGUAGGUGCCAUCCUUUCAUCGUCCCUCGGAAGGAACCUCCUUACUUGACUCAUUCAUCCAUCUGUUCACUCGGAAAAGAAAAACACACCAGUCAGGAACCAAGAGCCAGGGUUUUCAGGGUAUCCAGUCUACCACAGAGCUGGAACAGAAGUCAGGAUGAGACAAGAACAGGAAUUUCAGAAAACUUCAGAGGCUCUGCUGGCUUCCUCCUGCCCCACAUUCGGGCCAGAAGCAACGGGGCGGCCUUUCUUUCCUGACUUCUCGGAUCCCAAACUGGAGAGCUAGUGUGAGAAAACCAGUUUCAAGGAGAAGCUGAGUGGUUCUUCUUAACCGCAAGGCUAUUCUGAAUAAAGAUGUGUUUGCAAAGGAAAGUUACAAGAAAACAAAGCUCUACUCCUCCCGUGAAAACAUACGCACUCACACACAUACACUACAUUUGCGCGUGCACACACACACACACACACACACACCCAUGCACGCGAAGGGACAAAUCACCUCCCAGCCUCAGACAGAUCAUUCAUUCCACUUGGGAUUCCGCCACACCCCCAAACCGUGGGCUGCCCCACCUUCCUUGUCCGACUCCUCUACCCCUCAAACCUUCAACAUUAUCUGUACUUUGGGUGUUAGGAAGAACUCCAAGGGACUGUUAAAAUUCCUAAGUGGUAAUACAUUUUUAAUGUGUUGAGUAUUACUUAAAAUAAAUGGACCACAAUCAUAGGCUUUGGAAGACUCAAAGAGACCUAUCACAGGGGCAUUCGUGUAAACAGAAAUUUACAGUUUGCCUAUUCCUUUUACGUGACAGACUCCA